ensembl:lincRNA Snhg12 small nucleolar RNA host gene 12
UUUCUCGCUUCAUCCGCGGUCCCUGUCUGUUUUCGUUAUGGCGCCUUGUACUUCUACCCAACGUUGCCCGCCCCCCAUCUUCCCAGCCCACCAGCUCCGUCCGCCUCUCCGGAUGAUUCGUGAGAUACCGAGCCUGCCGGGAAGGGACCGGAUUUUUCCGUCUGGUCCAAGGAAGCACGGGUUAUGGCCACAUGCGCAGUGAUAACUCAGGGCCCCACGCCUUUUGACCCCUGUUGAUGAAGAUUGUGAGGAGGGAGACCAGAAGAUAAUGGACAACGAUACAGCAGAAGGGUCUGGUUACACUUGAGCUUAUUUCUUGGAAGAGUCUGAGAAGACGGCCUGUCAGGCUCCUAACACUAAGGGCCAUGUAACCAGUGAAGCAGCCAUUAUAUAUGAUUUGGUCUACACUUGUUGGAAAAAUUCCACAAGAGGAUCUCCUGGAAGCUAGCAGAAGUUUUUGGCUUGUACAUUGCCAGGCAGCCAUUGGAAUCGGAGCUGCAGUCAGAUUAAGGCCAGCCUGGCCUACAUUGAGAAACCUCAUUUUGGGAAAGUGAAAUACUUUGUCAAUUAACAUGCAGUUGGUUCAAUAAAGACUUUUGGAAAGUG